UGUGUGUGUGUGUGUGUGUGUGUGUGUAAGACCAAAGAGGAGUUUCUUCAGCAAAGACUGGGCUUCUUUUUCUCUGACAACCAUCACAAUCUCUGGCUCCCUAGGGUGGGCAUGAGUACACAUAUUGUUUACCCUGUUGAAAUAUAAACAAGGGAUAGGGAUUUUUUUUUAAUAGUCCCAGUGCCUAGGACAAAGUAAAUGCUAAAAAAGAUUCUGAUUUCUCAGUAUGGAGUGGUACACGGAGGAGAGGGACCUUAACAUUUGAGGUCUCAGCAGACCAGGGUUUUUUUCUUAACCUUCUUUGUGCCAUAGACUCCUUGGGUGGUUAGUUGAAGCCCAUGGACUCUUUUUCAGACCAAUUUUGGAGAAGGAAGAUGUGGGAGAAGCGGUUAUGCCCCAGACCUGGAGGAAGGUAACAAUGGAGGCUCCCCUUCUCCCCAUAUGCCUAAAAGACAGUCAAGAAUUGAGAGCAAUCAUAGCUCAAAGCAAGUUAUAAACAUGAAGGGGGAAGCCACAGGAAUACAUCAGAAUAAAGGAGACUCUGUCCUUAGUGUGAGAGAUGGAUUCUUACAGUUUCUAUUUUACCCUCUGGUUCUAGAAUAUGAGGAUAGUUUUCCUGAUAAUUUCUUGAAAAAUGAUAUCCAGGCUCUUUUUUUUUUUUUUUUGCUCAUGGCUGUCAGAUAUAUCAAUAAUUUUUUACUUAUUUCUCCUGGAUCUAUUUUCCAGGUCAAUUUUUCCAAUGAGAUAUCUCACAUUGUUUUCUAUGUUUUAUUUUUUUUUUGUUUUGCUUAAUUAUAUCUUGAUUUCUCAUAUUCCAGAUCAAUUUUUCCAAUGAGGUAUUUCACAUUGUUUUCUAUGUUUUCUUUUUUUAUUGUUUUGCUUAAUUAUAUCUCAAUUUCUCAUAAAGUCAUUAGCUUUCAUUUGCUCAAUUCUAAUUUUUAAAGAAUUAUUUUCCUCAAUGAGCUUGUGUAUCUCCUUUCCCAUUUGACCAAUUUUAAGGCAUUCUUCUCAUUAGCUUUUUGUAUUUCAUACCACUCUCAAUUCUUUCCCUAAUUUUUUCCUUUAUCUCUUAUUUGAUUUUCAUAAUCCCUUUUGAGUUCUCCCACAGCCUGAAAUCGAUUCUUAUUUUUCUUGGAGGCUUUGGAUGUAAAAGUUUUGAUUUCUUCUGGGUGUGUGUUUUGAUCUUUCUUGUCGCCAUAGUAACUUUCAAAGAUCAGAAUUCUUUUCUGUUGUCUGAUCAUUUUUCUAGGCUAUUUUUCAGCUUUUAACUUUGUAAAAAGUAGGGUUCUGUUUCUAGGAUGGAGGGUACACUAUCCCAAGCUUCAGGGCUUUUGUGAGGCUAUUUUCAGAAAUCCUUCUAGGAACCUGACCACAAGCUUUCUUUUCUGCCUUUGAACCACUGGGAAGAAUGUCCCUGUCCCACUAGUGUGCUAAAGUCACAGCUUCGCAGAUGCUGAAGCUAGUGCCACGGCUGCACUGUGCACAGCCGUCCUGCAAUGACACUGUACAUCUGACUCCUACUCUGUUGCCACAGACCUUUUCUACUGACCACCUAAGUUGUCUUCAGCUGGAAAAUGUUCUGCUGUCUUUUUUGAUUGAUCUGAUGUUCUUAAAUUUGUGUUGUCAUUAUUUAAAGCCACUUGGAGCAGUUUGGGGGAGAGAUUGGGCCAGUUCCUGCCUUUACUCCCCAUCUUGGCUCUGCUUUGGGAGAUGGAACCUUAGCUCAGCCAAAGACUGGCUUUACUCUACAUAAACUCUGGGGGGUGCAGGUGCUGGAAAUCAAGAUACCUGCCCCAUUCCAAAGACUCUGAGGGUUCCCCUUAGUCAUUCACUGUUUUCACCUUCACCUUCUGCUGUGGCCUCUCCUCUCCAGCCAAUCAGGAGUCUCGUCACCCUCAGAGUGUGAGGAUGCCCACAGAUACAUAUAGUUCUGCCAUAGCACCUAAGAUCCUACAGAGGAGGGAGUUUUAAUUCUUUACAUUCGGUUGGGAGCCAGGCACAGAGACCGGCUAUGUGUGCUGGGUGUUUAAUAAAUGCCGGUUGGUUGAUUUAUUGAUUUCCUAUCAACUUGCAGUGAAAGGAGUUUUCAUCUUAUGUGCUAAUUAUGCAUGAUUAUCCAUCAAAUAACAAUUUUGAACGAUCCCGACUAUCACUCUCGAGAUAUAAAACAAAACCCCUCAUUCCCGUUCCCAUCCCCGUCAAAGGGGCUGCCACCGGGAGGGUGCAUGGCCCCCACUGAAGCCACCAGACUGAGUCCCCCAGAGGAUAACCGGGUGCUGAGUCCUCAGUGGGCACCUCAGUCCCUCCAGGGUUUGCACAGAUCGGAUUCACAGCAAUAGCCAAAUGGAUGAAGAGGACCUUUUGGGUGGCUAGGUGGCCAGAGGGUUAGCGAGAACUCUCUGGUGGGCCGUGGUCAGUGCUGAUGGCCAGAAAGGAAGCAGAGAAGCUCAGCUCGCCAUUCAACCACCGGGCCCCAAACCCACGGUUUAAGAAAAACAAUGGAUGAGUCCAUGGCAGAGACUAGGAAGCAGAGGCUGAGGCCCCCUGGGGCCAGAGGGGUGAUUUCAUAGGAACGGGAACUUGCAGGGAAGGACCCCCGAGAGCUGUGGAGCAGUGAUGGUGGGAGCAAGCCACAGAGUAACACUGUCACCUAAUCUGUGGUAUAUUGUAUUUUAAUUCACUGGGUUCAAGAUUUCUCUAGGAGGGCUGCUGCAGCGGACUUUGGCUCCCAGAUCCAGGCAGAACGUGGGCCCGGGCCUUUUGGACAGCCAAGGGCAGCAGUUUCAUCCCAGGACCUCACUAUAGGCAGAUCCUCAAUGCUCGCUGAUUAAUAAGGAGCGUCAGGAAGGCCCAUUUCAGCUUUCGCCUGUAGUCUAAGCCGUCCCUCCAGAAUUUUCUCCCCUGGUUAAAAGCUUUACCUUCUUUUCAGUAACACGACAUUUAAUUAAAUGAUUUUAAUAAACAUUUAUGAAGCACUUGCUGUGUGCAAGGCACGGCCGGUGCUGCAGGGGAAGGGCAGCAGCUGGCUAAGGACGAACCGCGGGGAAGGGGACGCCUCCGCUUGCAGGGGGCUGGCCGGGGGCGCUGGGGCUGAUCUUGCUGCUCACAGUGAGAUCACAGAGGACCAAACGCCCUUUUCCACGCGGGCUCCUUCUUGGAGCCGGGGCAUAAGGGCGGGCUCAGAAGAUGUAAGGAACCCCGCGGUGCUGCACCUGCUUGGAGACGCGGUGGGCUGGCGCCGACCACGGAGAUUCUGAAUAUUUGGGCUUCAUAACUCUGCUACCAAGAUGUUUGCAGACCAUGUCUUGAAACUUAUGUCCCAAAAACAAAAAGCUUCCACACUAAAGGUUCCAGAGCCCCCACCAGAACGAGUAGGUGACAAAAAAUAUUUCAUGGAUGCUUCGAAUAAAAACCUCACCUUUAUCCCAUCUUCUGUUCUGGAACUUUGGGAGCUGGAAGAAGUGCACUUGGAAAAUAACGUGAUUGAAGGAAUUGCUAAAGAAAUCCGUGGUCUCACCAAUCUAAAGAUUCUCUAUUUAAACAACAAUGAAAUAAGACUCAUUUGCAAGGACCUUGGAGAACUGACUCAUCUUCAAAGUCUGGAUCUUAGCAGCAAUCCUCUGGUUCCCAGCUCUUUGCUUGUCCUUUCCCACCUGCGGGCUCUUCGACAGCUUCGGCUUUAUAAAGUCCAAAUGGAGAAUUUCCCCAUCCAGCUCUGUAAGUGUCUACACCACCUGGAGUUGCUGGGACUGUCUCACAAUAAGCUGAAGUCUCUACCCAAAGAGAUUGUCAACCAGACCAAACUCAAAGAGCUCUACCUACAGAACAAUAAAUUUGAAGAAUUUCCUCAAGAGCUCUGUGUUCUUUACAACCUGGAGAUCCUAGACCUGGAGCAAAACCAGAUCCCUUUCAUCCCCGACGAGAUCAGCGAGCUCGUAAAUCUGGAGAAAUUCUUCAUCGCUUCCAACUGUGUAUCAUUCCUCCCUGACACUUUGGGAAGCUGUAACAAAUUAAUAGUCUUGGAUGUCUCCAAUAACUUCCUGCACAACCUCCCUUCGACCCUCAAAGAACUGACCGAAAUAACGGAACUGGGUCUUUCGGGAAACUGCCUGGAGAAAGUGCCCAAGCUGAUCUGCAAGUGGACGCUGCUCCAUCUCCUGUACAUGAAGAACACCUGCCUGAAAUCUCUGCGUCGCUCCUUUAAACGCCUACUCAAUGUCACUCUUUUGGAUCUGAGUCAGAAUUACUUGGAACGUUUCCCUCUAGAGGUCUGCGCUUUGAAGAACCUGGAGAUGCUGUCUCUGGAUGACAAUAACAUACGUCAGAUGCCUCAAGAAGUAUUCAAUCUUGUCAAACUGAAGGCUCUUAGUCUAACUGGAAAUAAUUUCAGUGCGUUUCCAGAGGAAAUCUUGCUAAUUGAAUCUUUAGAAGAACUAUAUCUGGGACAAGACCAAGGAGCCAAAAUGACUUAUCUCCCAGAAAACAUCCUGAAGCUAACGAAUCUGAAAGAGCUGUAUUUUGAGAACAACAGCCUGGAUUGUUUACCUGUGGGCCUAUGUUCACUGAAAAGCUUAAAAAUAUUAGAUUUUCACAACAAUCAGAUUACAGAGCUUCCAGACUCUAUAUCCCAGUUAACAGGUUUGAAGACUUUGAAUCUUGAGAACAACCACCUGACUAUACUUCCAGAAAGAAUGGAUGAUAUGGAACAGCUCGAGGUUCUCAACCUAGAAGGAAAUCCCAUGCAAGAUCCUACCCUAGAGGUGUGUCGUAUGGGCAUUCCAGAAAUAUGGAACUACUUAAAGGAUAAGAGAUACAAGAAUAUUAUGGCCACUAAGAUUCAGGCUUGGUACAGAGGAGUGAGGGUGAGGAAAGGCUUCGGGUCCAACGAAGAGCUCUUGGCGAUUCCGAAGAAAGGAAAGGGCUCGCCCAAAGAUAAGAAAGGAAAGAAAGAGGAGAAGAAGGAGGAGAAGAAAGAGGAAAAAGGGAAACCGGCGCCCAAAGCCAAAAAGAAAUAAAGCCUCUUUCGGGCAGGACUUAUCACAGUGCUUCAUGCCCGGAGGCGAGCGGGAGAAAGCAAAGCCCGCGACCAGCCCGGAGCGGGGGUGCCGUGUUCUAUUCCCUGAGUCACCAGCCGCCCGCAGGACAGCCUGGUAGGAUACAAAGAAUUCUGGCCAUGGAUUCUGAAGACGCAGGUUUGGACUCUACUUCUACCACUUCCUAGCGAGGUGACCUCCGUCUGCUGGGCCUCUGGGCCUGCAGAAUGCCGAGGAUGGACCAAAUGAGCCCCGAGGGCCCGGUGCAUGAUGCAGGGUGACGGUCUGGUACUGAGGCUGGGGGGACUCCAGACUUCUUGGCAGAAUCUCCGGUGCCUGGAAGCAGGGAUCCCCUUACAAUACCACCCCCACAGCAGUUAUUCACUCCUCACUUGAAGACACCCAGUAACGGAGGAGCCCCUGCUUCCAGGAGCUGCUCAUUGUAUUUUGGGACAGUUCCGCUAAUAAGGUUUUUUAUAUCUUUAUUGACAUUUUUAAAAGUUCAAUUUUGUUUUCAGUUUUGAUUUUCUUCCUUCUCUGCCCAUCAAAAGCAAAAGAAGCAAACCCAUUAUGGAUAGGAACAAUUAAGCAAAACUAUCCCCUGUAGCAGAUUAGCCUGCCCUCCAAGCGCACCCCCUUUCUGUCUGGAGGAGGGGAACAUGUUUCCUCACGAGUCCUCUGGAAGGCAAGUGGAUCUGGGAUCCUUCUAUGUGGAUGUUCCCUCACUGGUGCAGAUCGCCACCCCUCCCUGUGAACCCAUUCUUGUCCGUGUCCUCCAUGGGUUUUCCAUAGAAGGUCUGUUUAAGGUGCUAGGGGAUUCUCUCACUUUCUCUUGGCAUUGUGAGGAUGACGGGACCACAUGGCCUGUCCACCAUUUAUCCUUCUCUCUCACUGUGCCAGCGGCUCAGUAUUAUUGGUUAUGUAUUCUUUGAGGAAAUCCUUUACCUUCCUCUUCUCCUUUCUGGUUCCUCCUUAUGGAUGCACCUGGCAGGCUUUCCAUUUCUUUCUUUCUAAGUAAUUGUGUUCAGUUUUUUAAUUAUAUCUGAUUCUUUGUGACCCUGUGGUCCACAAGAUGGCAAAGAUAUGGGCCUGGAAUGCUUUUUCCUUUUCCAGCGGAUUAAACAAACAGAUUAAGUGACUUGGCCAGGGUCACAUAGCUAGUAUGUGUCUGAGGCCAGAUUUAAAAUCAAGUCUUUUGGACUCCAGGCCCGGUGCUCUGGGUCCACUGAGCCUUCUACCUGCUGACUCUGAGUAAUUCUCAUUUUUAAUUCUUCAGAGAUUGUAGUAUUCCAUUAUGCUCAGUCAUACUAAAAACAAAACAACAGUCAGCAAUAGGAUGUUGGUAUUAGAAACAUGGACCAAUUCUGUGUUUCAGGGGGUGGCUCCCUGGGAGGAGAAAGAAGAGGAAUAUGGAGGAAAUUUAGGUGAUUCAAAAGCAAACUAUAUUAACAUCUUUCAAUAUUAUAAAAGAUAUAAAUGUGUUUUUACAAAAUGGACCUUUAUCUCUGUAAGACGUUUGGAGUCAUUAAAGAAACUUUCCAAUUUAUGAAAGCCACCCAGCCCUCUCUCUUCUGCCCAUUUAAUUCUGGACCCAGUUAUUGUUCACUUAUAGUGUUUAUCCAAGCUAUGUGAACUGCCAGAAAGACUUUUUCAGCUUCUUAUUUAUCUGUGUGUCAUAAUUUUGACAACAGGGAUUCCUCAUCCACUUUGUUUUCUCUGUGUGGAUAGUUUUCAUCGUCUCUAACUUAAAUCCAUCUCACUGAAUCUUCUAGUCAUGUUCUUAGUUCUGUCCUAUGGGAACAAAUAAAACUCAUUCUCCUUCCACAUGACAGUCCCUGGCAUUCAUCUUUGAAGUCAGUAAUCACAUCUUUUCUAAAGGUAUCUUCUUCUCUGAACUAAAAUCCUCUGGUUUUUACCAUAGAUGGUUCUUGCCAUCCUAGUCCUUCUCCUUUGGAUGCCCUCCAGCUUGAUAUUUUUUCUAAAAUGUGCUAUCAGAACUGACCUCAAAAUAGGUCUGGUUUGAAGAUGGCAGAGUAUGUGGCAAGACUCUCACCUUCCCUAGUCUGUUUUUAUUAAAUCGAAUAGUCUUUCUGAGAGACAGUGUAUUAUUAUUGAAAGAAUAAUCCAUGUGGAACCAGAAAACCAAGGUUUGCUUUAAAAAAAAAAAUUCUCUGCCUCAGUUUCCUCAUUUGUAAAAUGGGGAUAAUAAUAAUAUUGAGCAUUAUUGAGAAGACUGAAUGAGGUAAUGUAUGUCAAAUACUUUGCAAACCUUGAAGUGGUACAUAAAUAUUAUUAUUACUGAUAAUAAUCACUCUAUUAGGAUAUUU